rnacentral:piRNA from 1 species
UGGGAGUCUUUAGUUUGUGCAAAACGUGC